CUCAGAAAAGGAGUACCCUCUUGCGGGGAUUACUAUACAAAACAACGGGGGUUUUGGGUCGGGGCAUGGUCGGGGGCGUAUGAGUGAUUUUCCUCCCGCUGGGACUGCCAUCUGUCGACAAAUGCAUUUUCUGCGAGGAGUGAAACCACACACCCGCAAGAGGCGCUCGGGGUCUUUAUCUGUUCUUGGAGAUUGGCGCCCGAAAUGUUCAUAGAACAAAACGUGCACAAACCACGAGACACUCUAGACAGAAGUUUCAAACAGUAUGGAGGAAUUGCGAUUCGUUGCCACAAGUUUUUCGAAUUUAUACUAGCGGUAAAAAUUAUUCGAUUGACACUAAAUGAGUCUUUUUUAGUAAGGAAAUCUUACAUUAAGCUGAUAAAUUUUCAUGUACCUGAGAAGCUGGAUGUCAAUGAUACAAGAGGAUAAAAGGCAGUUCGGUAAUACGCUGAACUGGUAAAGUAUUCCGUAUUUUCUGUAAACUUUAACCUUGUUAACUUAAAACCAACUGAAACUCAUGCAAUGUGAAAUUGAUUGAGAUACUUGGGACUUUUAAAGUCUUACCAAGUAGUAAGAAAAAGUCAACUGUAAUGUAACAUUUUAAAAAGCAGCCAGAAAUUUGUCCUUUUAGUACCUUACUUUGAUAGUUUCCUCCUAUGUUAAAAAAGUGUUACUGGUUUAGUUUCAAGUUGAAAAUUUUUUAUCGCAGCAAAUAUCAAGGAUUCAAAGAGGAGUGUCACCAUUUAACAUGACAAGUAGUGUUCCAGGCCAUGGUUUUUUGGAAUUCAAUGCCACCAAUGCCAGAAAAUUUGUCGUGCUUUUGAUGAACAGAAAAAGGUAUAAUAACCCCAAUAGCUAAUAUAAAUGGUCCAACAUUUUACCAGUGUUCAAGUUGUUUGUCUAUUUGUUACUUACUUCGAACACAGUUAUGAUUUUUAUUUAGAAAUAAUUAAAGUGUUUUUUUUUAGUAGCACACAUAAUUUUUGAUGUUCUUUUACAUUCAGCCACAUCUCACCUUACUAUCCAUUUAGCAUGGUCUUUUAUUAAAGAAUACAACAAGCCUUUCAUGGUCAAUCAAGAUCUGAAUAGAAAUUAACGCGUCGUGCAAAGAUAAUAAGCUGUUUGAGAUGUGCGGAGAGGAUAUUACAAUGCCAUCAGAGAACUGUUAGUUCUUUGGUGGUAACAAGGUCCAAAGGAACAACAACAAGCAUGGACACCUUCUUUCAAGUUUAAUUGGUGGCCUGGAGAGGAGGUAUUUGGUAAGAAACUUACCUGACCUUUGCAGCAAUUAAAAAAAGGUAUGGUUAGAAAAGAAAGUGGGUGAUGAAACCAAGUAAAACAUUUCACUCAAAGCGUUUUAGUCUUUGCGGAUAUAGUAAACCGAUCUAUUGAUGGAUGUGAUGAAAAUGGAGUUAGCAAAAGCGAAAACAUUCCAUUGACAAGGAAAUUCGUUGGCAAUACCGCUUUCCAAGAUCCUUUCUACAUUUUACGCCGUACCUUAUUUAGGUAAGAAUUUAAAAGAAAUUCAUUUGGACUACAUUGGCUCCAAUGCAAUGCUAAGCACAUGGGCGGGAAUGUGACGUUGGACCCCCCGACACCAGCCCCCCCACCGACGCGUGUGAUUCUCUGAGAAAGCCUUGUUUGGUCAAUUGCGUGUCCAUUCGUUCAAUGAAUCUUGAUACUUAAGACGAUUUCCUCGACUUCUGUAGCGAACGUGACUCGUUUAAGUGGCCGCGAGGUGAUGCCUUUCGUGCCGUCUGUUUCAGAUUGGACAUUCAUCUCAAUCGCAGGUUUGUUCACCGCUUCCGUUAUCAAUUCGGCUACAGAAACUUUUAUGGAAUUGGUAUCCACGAAUUCUUCAUCUUAAAUUUAAUGGUGACCGGCACAUUAGAUUUUCUUUCCGGUACGUCCAGCACCAGGAUGUCCUCCGUAGGGGCUUGGGCUUGUUCUGACAUUGCACAUCCGUUUUGCUGGCAGUAGAUUCAGUCAUCGCUGGAUCAUUUGGUAAAACAGCUUGAACAGUACUCGCGUUAUUUAACACACCUUCGCAAUUUUUCUGUUGAUUGGCCAUUGUUUCCCGUGCUUGUUGCCUCCGUAGAAUUCUCCUAGUUCUGUUCAACUCCUUGGUGGUUUGUAUCAACAAAGUUGUCAGUUUUUCUGAGUUUUUUCGUUCUCUUCUUCCUGUUGUUCAGACAUAUGGAGUUGAUUAUCUUUCAACUCGAUUAGUCGUUCAGACUCUUUUUGCUUUUUCUUCCAUUCAAAAUCUUGAGAUCUAUUUUUCGUUGUUAGCGUGGGGUUAAUUGCAUCUGGUUUCUCUGCUGGGCCGAUAGGGCUAUACACCUUGUUCUGGGUUAAGGCCGUCCGAUCUUAUUUUCCGAUUAGAAAAUGCUUCUGGGCUCUGAUGUAGGCUGUUUGGGCUGCUGAUUUUGUUGUCCCGUAGCUGAUCGUGUAGAGUAGCCGUACAACUCGAUUAAAAAUUGUUCCAAAAAAGUGUGGCCACAAAGUUUCAUCAAAAAUGUUGGUUAAGCAUCUCGCGAACAAUGAAUUCGAGGAAGGUGAAUUUUUUUAGAAUUUGAAGUGAAUGUUUAGUUGAAGGUGAUGGUAAUGUAGUGUAAUGGACGGAUGACACUAUUGAUUGAUGACGCCAUUCUUGUAAUAUGGAGUAUUGUUUACUUCCAAAUCGAAGCAAUACUAUUGCUGCUUGCAACGUAAGAUGGCAAGGGUGAGGAACUAAUUACAAAGUACACAGUAUGUUUUCGUCCAAGAUAUUUAAUACAUCUUCGCGAUUCUCCUUUUCUCGGAUCCUUGCUUCUUCCCGUGUCAGCUGCCUCCAAGAAAUUGCCACGAAGGUAUUAAACAGAACAACGAGAAUUCUCUUAUCUAAAGGAAUUGCAUUUGCAAGCAGCUACGGGUUUUGUCUUCACCUCUGGUUACAUUGUCACCAGUUACAGCAUCUCUAUCAAUUAUAUGCUUUUAAGCAAAAAUUCUCGUGACAUUUAAUUAAUUUAAAUCAAAGUAUUUUAUAGCAUGACUACAUAUUUGGUUUUAUAUUUUGUGAAGAAUUGUCUGAAUUUUGGAUUUUUCGCUUGUGAAUUUAGACAGCAAUUUAUCCAAUCCUGAUGAGUAGGCCUAUGCUAAAUUAAUUGAUUUUUUUGUUUUGUCAUUUUUUAUGUACCUUUUUUAUUAUUAUUAUUUUUAGGAUUAACGGUAAAGUCGGUCAUAAAUAUUAAAUCGUUUGAAUGGAAAACAACGAAUAUAAAAAAGAGCGUGUGACGA